UUGGGGAGAAGCUGGGAGGCAAACUGGCUGGAGCCUGGGAUGUGACCUUGGCCAUUGGCCAUAGCAUAGGAACUUAUUCUCUCAGAACCUAGUCCUGGCCCCAUCUCAGGCCUGUGACUCAGCCAGCGCUGAGCAAGGCUUUCCUGACCCCACCAGCCACCCGGCCCAGCUCAGGGACUUCUCCACCCCUGGCUACACCAGGACAUACCCACCUCAGUCACCCAAGUCAUACCCAUCUGUCUAGCCUUUCUGCUUCUCCCUCCCUCCCAGGGACCCGACCAUCCUAGGGGGCAACCCCUCCCUUCCAGAAGAUGUUCCCCUCUGAGACCAGCAGCUCCCCAGCCCCACCCCCAUGUCUUCUUGCUGGCCAUGAAUGUGGAACUGAGGAGGCCUGGGCUGAGCUUGGAGGCCUCACUGGGCCACUGCCUGCAGAGAAAGGGACUUACCCUUUCCCCACCUUGGUUCCUACUGUGUGGGCUCCUUCAAGGUGCCCUUGGCCAUGCAUGGCCUGCGUGACUAUACAGGGCAGCCCUGCCUGUCACACAGUGGGCAGACACUCAGCAAAUGUCCCCAAAUGGAGGGCAGAUGGAGAAAUCAUUGGGCAAUCACAGUACAACGUGAUGAGUGUUCCCUGCAUGCUGGAAUGCACGGAGCUUGUCCUUGGCAACUCUACAGUGGGGAGCAAGGAAAGACCUCCCCCAGCCGCCAGCCCAGAAGACAAAAGCUCAGCAAACUGAAUAUAACUGCCAGGUCACAAGCAGGACAGGCAUGGCUAAGCCCUUGAGAAUGGAUUUUUACACCUUCGGAAGUACCUGUCCCCAAGCCCAAGGGGGCUGGCUGUCUUGUAGAGUCUCCUCCAGGGAAAGCUCCUUUAUAUUCUUAGUCACCUUUCUCAGUUCUUCUCUCAUGGGGCAGUGUUUCCUACUCUCUAACUUGCAUCCCUCCCCUCUUGCUGUAAUUUGAAGCUUGGGCAUGCCAUUCUUCUAGCCUCUCACCUCCCAGAUCAAUGAAACAUUCAGAUGUGUUACAGAAAAGCAAACUGUGGCAGCCAGCGUCUAAGGCUGCCAGUGUUCUUUGCAUCCUGGCAUUCAUGUCCUUCUGUAGUUCCCUCCCACACUGAAUAGGGCUGAUUUAUGUAAUCAAUCGGAUGUUAUAGAAAUGGCAGUGUGUGUCUUCUGAGGUUAAGCCAUAAAAGAUAUUGUGACUUCA